rnacentral:rRNA from 1 species
GACGAACGCUGGCGGCGUGCUUAACACAUGCAAGUCGUACGGUAAGGCCCUUUCGGGGGUCCACGAGUGGCGAACGGGUGAGUAACACGUGAGUAACCUGCCCACAACUUUGGGAUAACGCUAGGAAACUGGUGCUAAUACUGGAUAUGUGCUCCUGCUGCAUGGUGGGGGUUGGAAAGCUCCGGCGGUUGUGGAUGGACUCGCGGCCUAUCAGCUUGUUGGUGGGGUAGUGGCCUACCAAGGCGGCGACGGGUAGCCGGCCUGAGAGGGUGACCGGCCACAUUGGGACUGAGAUACGGCCCAGACUCCUACGGGAGGCAGCAGUGGGGAAGAUUGAACAAUGGGCGCAAGCCUGAUGCAGAAACGCCGCGUGCGGGAGAACGGCCUUCGGGUUGUAAACCGCUUUCAGCAGGGACGAAGCUUUUUGUGACGGUACCUGCAGAAGAAGCACCGGCUAACUACGUG